GCCGAUGUAGCUCAGUUGGUAGAGCAGCUCACUCGUAAUGAGCAGGUCGUCCGUUCAAUUCGGAUCAUCGGCUCCA
rnacentral:tRNA from 2 species